rnacentral:misc_RNA from 1 species
AACAAGGACACCACCGACCAGCUGGGUUAUCAAUGCCGAAAAAAAUGCCACCCUGCGUCCGUAUUUGUCUGACAUUCCACCGAAAAUCAUCGAUCCCAGCAUCACUCCGACCAUGAAAAGCGAAUCUCCGAGGGCUCGGAGCCAAGCUUUGUCGCAAACCAGAUUCCACUGGAAGAAAAUAUCGGUAAACUGUAAUUUCUAGCUGCUGCUGAAUCCAUUCCAAGAACUUGAGUGAACCGAAGGUUUGAACGAGAGUGCCUCACAGAAGACACGUUGUUUUAUGGAUCAUGUGAAAACACAUGAGUAAGUAAAGCACAUGCUGAGACAUUAGAUUUUAAUUUUAUUCGACAGGAGUAAAAAGCUGGG